GACGUAGGGCGCGAGCGUUGUCCGGAUUUAUUGGGCGUAAAGAGCUCGUAGGCGGCUUGUCGCGUCGACUGUGAAAACCCACGGCUUAACUGUGGGCUUGCAGUCGAUACGGGCAGGCUAGAGUUCGGUAGGGGAGACUGGAAUUCCUGGUGUAGCGGUGAAAUGCGCAGAUAUCAGGAGGAACACCGGUGGCGAAGGCGGGUCUCUGGGCCGAUACUGACGCUGAGGAGCGAAAGCAUGGGGAGCGAACAGG
rnacentral:rRNA from 1 species